UUAUCUUGCCCUAUUUGACCGUUUUUCAAAAAGUGCUAACUUUAGUGGUCACGUGACGAACAACAGGAAGGGACGCGAGUCUUCUUCAGGACAAGAGAGUUCCUGAAUCCAUCAAAGUGUGGGAGGAAAUCACCUAAAAUAUCAUGGACCAACUUGCAAAUGUCAUAGGACAACAGCACAUGGGUCUGACUGUAGGAUUGAGUUUGUUGAUCAUCGUUGUGAUUAUCGUCCUCGCUGCUGUUGUUUACACUCCACCGGGCGCCGUUACGCGCUGCUUGAGGAGGAGGAGAAGCGAAGAGCAGCUCUCAUUGACCGCUAACAGAAUAUCAUGACUUAUGAUGAUGAUGAUGACACAAAUUAAUAAUAACUACAUGGAUCUCUGUGUUGGACCCACAACAACAAUAAACUGUUAAACCGUAAAUAUCAGAA